AAUGAACGCUGGCGGCAGGCCUAACACAUGCAAGUCGAGCGAGCGGCGGACGGGUGAGUAAUGUAUGGGGACUGCCCGAUAGAGGGGGAUAACUACUGGAAACGGUGGCUAAUACCGCAUACUAUCGGAUAACCCAUAUGGGAUUAGCUAGUUGGUGGGGUAAAGGCUUACCUAGGCGACGAUAUAUAGCAGGUCUGAGAGGAUGAUCAGCCACACUGGGACUGAGACACGGCCCAGACUCCUACGGAGGCAGCAGUGGGGAAUAUUGCGCAAUGGUCGCAAGCCUGAUGCAGCCAGGCCGCGUGUAUGAAGAAGGCCUUAGGGUUGUAAAGUACUUUCGUCGGGGAAGCGUUACCCGCAGAAGAAGCACCGGCUAACUCCGUGCCAGCAGCCGCGGUAAUAC
rnacentral:rRNA from 1 species